UCAGAAAUUUAGGCGUAUAGACUUAUUUUUGACAUCGUUACAUAGAUUUACAGGUUGAUAAACUUCAAAGGUUAACUUUUUAUUACUUGGAAAACAGGCUUUAAUAAUGCCCAUGUCCAAAACAUAGACGAUGUUAAACCCACGAUAUCAAUUAUAUGUGAACAUUUUCUUUCUAACAAGUUUUAUCUUUGGCCUCUGCCCGAAAGGACUUCUAGGAAAUUUCUACCAGAUAAUUUGUCUUUGUAAAAAUAUUGUCAACAGAUGUCGCCUCAUAGAUGACAGGUACCUCGACAGGUAUACAUCUACCUGUUCAGGUGUGUCAUUCAUAAGAGACGCAAUUGCUGACUCGAUAUCUUUAUAAACUUAGCACGAAAGAAGAAAAUGGGCAAACUAAUAAUAGUAAUGGCGACCUACAGUGAAAACAGGUAGGAGACGAAAGAGACAGUGUUUUUUUUGUUACGUAAAGUGCGCUAGUAAUAUGAGAUUGCGAUCUUCGAAAGGAAAGAUAUAAUCCACGAAAGAAGUUGGUAUUUUUGUUAUAAAAUGAAGAUUAAAAUACAAAGCGUGUACACCUGUCAGGUAUGAUUCAACAGGUGUAUUUCCGGAAGUAUGACCUUGAAUAUUAGUUAUUUUUAUAAAAAUUUAAAGAAAAAAAUAUAUUAUUUUAUCUAUGAACUAGAAAGUUAUUGACUCAGUACAAAAUGUAUCUUAUUUUUGGUACAUAAUAAACAAAAAAUAUUGUAUUUUAGUACUACUGUUUUGUAUAUAGACAUAAAUAAUAUACAGUACUUCUCUUAUCUGUAUAUAAUACAUGAUAACUAUACAAUAUAUGAAACAUUUAACACAGGC